rnacentral:rRNA from 1 species
UACGGAGGGUGCUAGCGUUGUUCGGAAUCACUGGGCGUAAAGCGCGUGUAGGCGGCCUCCCAAGUCUGAUGUGAAAGCCCGGGGCUCACCCCCGAAAGUGCAUUGGAAACUGUGAGGCUCGAGUCCCGGAGAGGAGAGUGGAAUUCCUGGUGUAGCGGUGAAAUGCGUAGAUAUCAGGAGGAACACCGGUGGCGAAGGCGGCCCACUGGAUCGGUACUGACGCUGAGGUGCGAAAGCGUGGGGAGCAAACAGG